rnacentral:rRNA from 1 species
GAUGAACGCUGGCGGCGUGCCUAAUACAUGCAAGUCGAGCGAAUGGAUUAAGAGCUUGCUCUUAUGAAGUUAGCGGCGGACGGGUGAGUAACACGUGGGUAACCUGCCCAUAAGACUGGGAUAACUCCGGGAAACCGGGGCUAAUACCGGAUAACAUUUUGAACCGCAUGGUUCGAAAUUGAAAGGCGGCUUCGGCUGUCACUUAUGGAUGGACCCGCGUCGCAUUAGCUAGGUGGUGAGGUAACGGCUCACCAAGGCAACGAUGCGUAGCCGGCCUGAGGGGGGGGUCGGCCAAACUGGGACUGAGACACGGCCAAGAAUCCUACGGGAGGCAGCAGUAGGGAAUAUUCCGCAAUGGACGAAAGUCUGACGGAGGAACGCCGCGUGAGUGAUGGAGGCAUUCGGGUCGUAAAACUCUGUUGUUAGGGAAGAACAAGUGCUAGUUGAAUAAGCUGGCACCUUGACGGUACCUAACCAGAAAGCCACGGCUAACUACGUGCCAGCCGCCGCGGUAA